UCUGAUUUAGUGCUCUUAAGAAUUCCUAAGAAGGUCAGCUGUUAAACUAGUCAUUUAAGAUGCUUGUAUAAAGCAAACACACUGACUGCUUACUGUUUAAUACUCAUUUACUUAAUAGACCUGCUUUAUUUAGAUCAAUUUGGGGUGACCAGGAGAUGCACCACUGAAGGUGGACAAAACAAAGAUCUGCCUUCAGCCAAAGAGAGAUCAAAUGACAAGGUACCGGUGGCCAUGGAAGUCUCUGGCAACUCCAACACAACUAAAGGGCCAUCACAUAGGAAGAGAGUGAAGUGGAGCCAAGAAGAAAUCCAGGCGGUGGAGAAAACGCUCAUGGACUGUAUUGACUCUGGAACGGUUCCUGGGAAAGCCCAGUGUAUGAAGUGCAUUGAAGCCUCACCAGUGGCCCUUGAGAACAGGACAUGGCAAGCGGUUAAGUUCUAUGUGAAAAAUCGCAUAGAUGCAUUAA